GACGAACGCUGGCGGCGUGCUUAACACAUGCAAGUCGAACGGAAAGGCCCUGCUUUUGUGGGGUGCUCGAGUGGCGAACGCGUGAGUAACACGUGAGUAACCUGCCCUUGACUUUCGGAUAACAUCAGGAAACUGGGGCUAAUACCGGAUAGGAUCUCCUGCUCCAUGGUGGGGGUUGGAAAGUUUCGGCUGUGGUGGAUGGACUAGCGGCUUAUCCGCUGCUUUGUCGGGUUGUGGCUUACCAAGGCUUUGACGGGUACCCGGCCUGAGAGGGUGGACGGCGACAAGGGGACUGCGGUAGGGAGCAGACGCGAACGGGAGGCAGUGGGCGGGAGUCUUGCAGAGUGGGGGGGAGCGUGUUGUAGAAACGCCGGGUGCGGGAUGACGGCCUUUGGGUUAAGAACCGAUGUCGACUGUGACGAAGCGGGAGUGACGGUAAUGGGUAAAGAAGCACCGGCUAACUACGUG
rnacentral:rRNA from 1 species